AAAAAUAACCCGCUAGGAGUAUUUAUUAGCUAAUAGAUGGUUGUACUGAUGGCUUGUUUUUCAUUUUUUUUAUGCUUUUUUGGUCCAUCUAUUAAUAAAAAUGAACCCGUUACAGAGUCACCAUCAUGUCUCUUCUCACCACCCUCUGAGUCUGCAUUAGCCAGUCAACUAGCCCUUUCAGCGUCAUGUGACCAGCGCGCCCCACGCAGCUUGGCUGGUGUCGUUUCACAUGACCCAGGCAUGGCCAGUCGUCAGGUUGCACCGCCCUUUGGUUCCCGAGCAUGCUGUUUUCUCUCAGCCUUCUCUCCAACCUUAACCAAAUCGGCAGCAGCCACCUCGACCGCCCACACAUUCCCGGCCAAUCAGCUCAGCUGUUUAUUUACCAAAUGUGUCUUCACAACAACUACAGCAGCAGCCUUCGGCUAACAAAAAAGCAGGAAAAAUCCACAACACCCCCUUCGCCAACCAACUAAAUCCAACGCAACAUCUGGCAAAACCUUUUCAGCAAAUUCUUCUUGGCAGUCAGUCCGGCAGCCUCACCUCACCAUUUCUAGCUUGUUGAAACCAAAGACUAAUCACCGCGAAGGAGAAGCUUCUCCCGGAGCCGCAGCAGGUCCCUCUCCAGAGACAGAAGAAGAGAGAGAUCACUCUCACGGGAGAGGAACCACAAGCCUUCUCGCUCCUUUUCCAGGUCUCGCAGUCGCUCCAGGUCAAAUGAGAGGAAAUAGGACUGUGGGAAGGAGCUGUGUACAGGAAGUCACGAGACCUGAGGGCCAGGAGGAGUAUGUACAGAACAUUGUUUUGUUUCGAAACUUCAUAAAGCUUUUGGUGCAUUUUUAAAAUGUUUUAGCUGUCGAACUCGCUUUGUUCCUUGUAUCUUGUAACAGGUGGCAAAUGUAAAGAUGUGAAUCUGUAUAUGGUUUCUGAGCAGAUCCUAUGAUUUGUAAUAUUAAUGGUUUUCCAAUGUACCAUUAGAUGUGGUUGGUGUGUGUGUGGAAUGGUGAGCAGUCUGUGUCUGCAGCUGGAGAGUGCUGCUGGGCUGGGG